AGUGUGAAUGCUGCGGAGCAGGCGUGGUCUGUGACACGGUUGUUGUUGUUAUCAUGGGUUCCUAAGCAACCAAGAGUGCUUCCGAGCGUGACAGAUGUUUAUGCUGGACUUCACUCCUGGGAGCGCACAGUUUUUUAUUGAAAAAAAAAAGAGUGACGGCUCCUUAGCUGCGCGGGUUCACGCGAGCACGGUUGCGCGGGUUUCACGCAGACCUGAGCCCUGCGGUUAAUCGCAGGUUUACAAAUGGAAGAGAUUCAAAUGUUAGAAGUUUUCAGGAAAACAGCAGCCUUGAAGAGCGUGUGGAGAAGGCCAGCCCACAUCAGCAGCAGUUAAGAUAUGCUCUUGUGAAUGGCUUUCCCCCACCCCUUGCUGACAUAAAAUGUUUAGAUGAUUCUUUAGAUUGCCCUGAUCAACAACAGCCUGUGCUCCAGACCAUUAAUUUAACCAGUUGUUCAUUGGCCAUAUGAUUUAUUUACGCAGAUCAAAAGAGUGAGUGUGAAUGUGCCUGAUGUCACAGUGUGUGCGCUGUGUAAAUGUAAUUGUCACAAAUUGUGAGAGCGGUGAUUCUGCAGGUCACCAGCUAGUGUAAAGAAAGGAAGAGUAAAAAAGAGACAAAAUCUACAUUGUAGAUGAAAAAUCAUAGGAAAAAGGUUUUGUGUUUAUCAGCCAAGAACAACUACAAUCUUAUUUUCUGCUUUUAAGAAAGAAGAGUUCGAAAGACAGAGAGAGAGAGGUGUGUGUUGUUUAAGCAGAGAUGAUAAUAAUGAAAAUGUCUUAGUUUGUCACUUUCAGAUGAAAAGCAGAUCGAUUUUCCACAUGCAGCGGUCGGAAGAAAGUUAUAGUUUAACAUCAUUGGGAACGUUCAGGCCAAAUUUCUGGCUAACUUAUUUACAGCACCAUGUGUCCCUCAUCCUCACAAGUGAGCUCUCACUCCUCCCUGAAGACAAGGAAUGCAGUUCCAAAGAGCAAUAACAUGGCAGAUAAAGAGACUGCAGCAAAGUGCUGGGCAGAGAGUCCCAGCAAGCAGCAGCAGUGUGAACAAACAGCAUCGGAGAAGAAAAGCAAACCCAUCAUCCUGACUGAUUGGAUGAAUGACACUGUGUUUCCAACAAGCUGCAAAAUUCACUGUGCAUGUGAAAAGGAUGUUUGAGGAGAACUGAGGAGACUGUUGGAGUUUGACAUUUGCCACUUUCGGAGCAAGAUGGCAAGAAGAGACAGUGGAACACAGGACAAAGCUGAAGAAGAACUGCCGGCUAUUGGACUGCUGAAGUGGGAGAGAACAACAGAGUGGGAGCAGUAGGCCUUGAUGUCUUUGGACCGUGGACCAUAACAACCAGGUGUACCAGGGGCGGAGUAGGUGAAAGUAAGCGGUGGGCCAUCAUGUACACCUCCAUGAGUUCGAGA
ensembl:lncRNA